CAAGUGGAGAAUGGAAGCACACGCAUGGAAGUGCAGGAAAUAUAACCUUCCAGAGAUUCCCACUGCUUCUGAGAAUCCAGAGCACUUGUGUUCUCCUGAUUGUGUAUUUGCAGUGUGUUAACCCAGUUCCCCUGAAAGCUGAAGCCACAGAGUAUCAGCAAGUAUAUCUGCAUCUGCACCAAUUCUCUGAUUCAGCUAUGACAUAACAUGACUCUUUUCCCAAAAGCACUGAGUCCCAUAGCAUUCUUACGGCCACAGGGGUGUAUGUACAAACAAAUGAUGUCUCUCCAGGGAGCUUUCAUGUGCCUCGAAAGAAGAAAUCUUUCUUUUCAGCAAACAGCAGAAUGGCUGACACAUCUCUCUGUGUGAUCUGGCUGACAUGCCCACAUAGCACCUAUAAUCAGGGGCUGCCAGCAGUGCCCGGGGGGACAUAAAGCAGCGUGGUGAUGCCCCGCCGUGACAGCCGUCCUUGUUCCAGCUGACAGGUCCGUAUGCGGGGCACAUCACUGGUGUAAAUACAGGCAGGAGUCUCUGCCUCUGGGGAGAUAGUGUUAUCUCCAGCGUCAAGGCGUUCUCCCAUCCAUCCUCCACAAAACCUGUCCCCUGAGAAGCACACGGCAUCUCGCCCCCACACCUCCCCUCUCACCCUGCCUACACCGCAAUCUUGGCACUAACUCACCUCUGGACUCGAAGCGUGCUAUUGUGGUGAAAACAGAAUGAGGGUCACUUACUGGUUGCUGGAUGUAUGUAUGCGUAUGAAUAUGUACCCUGCAUGUCCAUGGCAUUUUGGGGCACAGCUAGUUUGGACUUACCAUCCCUGACUUUCCCUGAUGUUCAAGGAAUGUGAAUUACUCCACAGAUUCAGAAGGGUCUCUACACAUGACCUCCAACAGAAGGAGGCAGAGCCGAUGAAAUGGACUAAUCCUCCCUUUCCUUUUUUCUUUUUCAUUAAAAAGAGAUUUAAAGUGUGAAAGUUGUUCUAAUGUAGUGGAUUUUCACAGAUAUUCAAGUUAGCUGGAUUUUUUAAAGGUGGGAGGCACAGCAAGGAAAUAAGACACAAGUAACUAAAACAUGCAUUUCUUUGCUAUUUGUCGUUGACUGCUCAAUCUGAAUGCAUUUCAUUAUUUAGAACAAAGUUGGCCUGCCAACAACAAGAAGAGACAAUGCAAACUAUAAUCUGAACUAAAAACUUUACUAAACCUGCUGCUCUUUGCAGCUCAUGCUGAUGUCAAGAGUAAAGGUCAGUCUAUGCAAACAUCUGCACUCAGAAGAAAAGGUACAAAAGCUGUAAAUGGGGUGAUACUUUUAAAAAUGGUACACUUUUGUACCAAAGGGUCCAUAUUUAUACCUUAAAGGCACACAUGAGUAAAUAAAGUGUUUAUAUUAGUGCAUUAAAGGUAUAAAAGCUUAUGUUGUGAAGCUUAAUACUGUAGUUAUUUGUAUAAGUAAAACUUACUGCAAUUUGAGGAAUGUGGGCCAGUCUUGGCAUGUUUUUUACAGUAUUUCCUUGUAAAUAAUCAAGCCGUUAUGACAAUAAAUCACAAAUAACCACAUUAAAAGAGACAACAUGAAUACACGUUUGAGUAUAUGUGGCGUG